CUAACCCUAAAAAUAAAACUGAACAAAGAUAAAUGUCCUUGCAAAGAAAUUUAUUUAAGAAGCCAAUUCUCAGCCAUCGUUCCUCUCUAUGCAAAUUUUCGAUCUCCAGGUACUCUUCCCUUUAAACUUCUCUGCUUUUGGAAUCGUUAUGCAAAUUUUCGAACUCCAGGUACUCUUCCCAAUAAAUUUCCCUACUUUUGGAAUUGUGUCUAUGAUUGGUUUAUCCAGAUGUUUUUAUUUCUUUGAUUUUAAGAUUAAUUGAUACAGUUCACAUAAUUUUUCGGCGAUCGACAAUCGGAAGGAGUAAAAAUCAUUAAAGGAGUUAGAAGAAUGAAGUGGAAGGUCAGGAAAAUUUAAAGUAUAUCGAUUGCAAAACUUGAUAACAAGAAAAGGAUUAUCCAAGACAAACCAUCUUUAUCCCAAAAGACAUCUGCGAGGGUUAUCCAAAUUUAAACUUUGUUGUGCAUAUUUCUAGCACAGUAUGAGAGGCUUAUGGAUGUGAAAGAGAAAUUCCUGAAUUUAAGCACUUCAGAAAUGUUGGAGGGGAACCUAUAGGCAAACAUCCGGGCCGUACUUGGGUUGGUUACUUAAUUGGCUAACUUCUAAACAUGUUCCCGUAAAAUUCAUGAACCAACACCGGAACAAGAGGAAUCUCAAUUUUGGUCUGAUAGCAGGUGUGAAGAUAUGUAAAAAUAAUUACAGACAAUACAUACUUACUAACGAAAUAAAGGUCAUGCCAUCACUCUAGUAUUUCAUUUAUGCUCUUUUUUACGUCUGGAACAAGGUAUCUACUGUAUCUCAUGUGAAAAUUAGCGUAGUUGCUUAAGGAUGUCGUCCACUGGACAAGCAUUUCAUAUGUAGUUGGUAAGAGAAUGAUGAGUAUAUGAUCCAAACGUUUUUCCCAUGUUUGUUUUGCCUUAAUUUUCUACUUUAAAAGGUUGAAAAUAUGUUUUCAGGUUUUAAGCAUGCCACUGUGGAUGCUAAAUGUCAGAAAACGAUUAUACUUCCUACUUGAGAAAUGUUCUUGAAGAAGUUGCAUGGAAACUAACCUUAUAUAGACCUAGAUAACUUGAUAACACAAAAACGGAGGGUUUGGGUUGGAUUUGGUAAAGCAAAGAACAUUCUAAAGCACAGAAAUAUAAAACAUACAGUUUAGAACAUUUCUCAUCCAAAGUAGCAUGACGUUUCGCUUUUUCAUCUCCUUUACAUAUCCAUUUAAUGUUCUUUGUUUACCAGCCACUAUAUAAGUACAUAUUUAUUUUAAAUUUUACGAGCACAAACAUCUGCGAUGUAGGUUCAUGCUUGGUUUCGGAGUUGCAUAUCCCACCACAUCGUCAACAACUUUUGUUGCUAUGGAAAGUGAAGUCCAGAAAGUUGCUCUGUAAAGUGAAGCCCAGAAACAUAGAUGGUAAACGGGUUUAGAUCUUUUAGUACAAAAUCAUCAUCAUAAAAGAGGCGGUUUUACUUAAUAGGUUGGUAAGGUUGAAUUGUUUUUUAUUGUUUGAAUAUAGCGCGUUUGAAUGUUAGCAUCCACACAGAUGUAAGUAUAAGAAUUAGCUAAUGCAUUCACAAGCCUGAGUUGUACUUUAAAACCGAGAACCCUACUGGGAAAAAGAUCACCAUCGUUCACCAUAUACGGAGAACUACAAUAUAGAACCAGAACGCUGCUGACUGAGGAAAUAGAGAAGGCGACUUACUCCCAGCUGUACAUAUACGAUCCGUCUUUGGCAUUAUAGAGAUUGUUGAACCGAAACCCCCAGUGUUGAUGAAUACGGGAUAUUUUUUUGUACCUUAAAGGAAGUCGAGGGUUAAGUAAGGAGAAUAAACGAAUCCCACCAUGGUUACCUGCCACUCCAUUAUGGAACUGAUAUGAUUUUCUUAAUGUUUCUUCAAAAGAAAGAAGUUUUUAAAGCUAUUUUACAAUGAAAAUGUCCAGAUAAAACAAAAGAGAGAGUAAGGAGAAAAGGGGAUUGGUGGUGGUAAUAACCAGAGAGAAACAGAAAUGGAACAAGAAGAAAGUAAGGCUACAGUUUUGCAUUAGUUUCGAAAAUGGAUACACGCUGGAAGCUUCAAAGAAAAACAUUUUUCUAUUUGUCAAUUAACAUCGAGACAGCUUAGAUCAAACCCAAUAUCUGGAGAUGACAUUCUACAAGGUUCACGAGUACUAAAUAACAUUUUUCUAAAGGCUUGCAAGACGGUCACGCAUCAUCACACCUAUAUAUACUGACAAUGAGUGACAACUUCCCGCCAUUCCUUUCUGGAAGCAUUUCCAGACACCUUGCCGGAAAAAGGUUCCAAACUCUUGAAAAUUUUGUUGUAUGUCACGGGUAAAUAAAUGUUCUCCAAGCGUGUAUCAAUUAACAUUUUGCUUUGUGUCA